rnacentral:lncRNA from 1 species
GUGUGAAGACGCGACGCUCUGGAUUACAACGAGACGGCGCGACUAAGCAUUCAACCCCCACUGACGGCCGCGCGACGGUCUAUCCAAACCUCCGCGCGACCGGGCGUCUCCGAGACGAGGCGCGAUCGAUCGAUUCGAUUCGUCGCCGCGCCCCUCCCUAAAGUCGCCUUAAAAUUUUGUCGCCAUCGACGAUCCGCGCCGCUCCCUCACGCCUUAUCCUUGGACGCGACGGAAGACGCCCUGCGCUUCGCGAGAGACUCCGAGCGACGCUCGCGCGCCUCCUUCAGCCUGAGCGCGAGCACCUUGUGGUAC